rnacentral:lncRNA from 1 species
AUGUCACACGAUCUUGUCUCUUGAGCACAUGAUUGUGUCUUAUGGGCCUGACACAAGCCUUGGGUAGGGCUUGUUCAGCUAUUCUAGAGUUUGGAUUUUUUUCCUACUCAAGUACCUGAAUUUCCUAUCCUUGCAUUCUAAUCACCAUAGAACUCAUGUUAACUCAAAGAAAAAUGUUGUAAAUAAAUUAAAAUCACUAAUGCAAACAAUGAAAAUUAAAAAAGAAUGAAGAGAAAUGGAUGGGUUGCCUCCCAUCA